AAUUAGUUCUCUCUCUUGUUUAUAGGGAGAGAAAAUCCUCUCAACCAGUUUCUCGUCGUUGGUUUCCUCUUGGGUUUUGCCGAGCGUGCUCUCCAUCUAGCUUCCCUUGUCCUUUGGGGCAAGGGAAGAUGGUGUGUUCCGGCUCGAUCGUGGUUUCCCAUCCCACCUUGGGUUGGUUGUCUAUAGUUUUUGAUGUUGUCUUGUUGAUAACAGACCCUGAAUCUUCAUAAAGAGGGCGAAUUGCUGAUGGUCUAUGAGUAGGAAGCAGUUUUAGUAGUUAUAUUAGCAGGUGUUGUUUUCUCUUGGAUCUGGAUGUUGUGCUCUGCUUGAGGGAAAUGGUUAAUCAUGUUUUAGACGUUUGCACCUCUGGGGCUUUAUACUUCUUCAUUUCUAUGGGAAAGUUCACCCUAAAGGCUAUACGAGAUUGAGAGGCCAAAGAGCUUUGCUACGUCACCUUUCCUGAGCUAUAGAGCCGUGCUUUAGUCUUUGGGUGGUGGAGAUUGCGAGUUCCUUUAUUGGUUGGAUGGCACUCUAGUAGAAAUCUGGAUGACUUUUGGCCGCUCAGGUUGUUCAAUUGGAGCAUUAAUGGUAGGUGAUGACAUGUUCUCUACCCAGCUUCUCAAUUGGUGGUCAAGUUUUGGUGUGGUAGACGGCCGGUGGAGCUGAAAUGUGAGCCUGUUCCCUUCUCUGUUUAGUCUAGAUUUCAGAUUGGGGGUGGGCUAGAUUCUUUGCAUACUAGUUUGCCUCACCUUGUUACUGGCUUGAUUUUGUGGGCCUUCAUGAUCUCUAUUACUGUUUAAUUUCUGAGCCCAAGUUUACAUCUUUGCCUUUAUUGGCCAUGAAAUGCAAUUGUUACUAUUUACAAUUAAAUAAAAAAAAGGAGAUGAC
rnacentral:misc_RNA from 1 species